CCCAAGCAGACACCCCGGCCAUGGUGCCCACAGAGGGAUUUUCAGGAGUUAUCCCAUGCAGACACCCCGGCCAUGGUGCCCACAGAGGGAUUUUCAGGAGUUAUCCCAUGCAGACACCCCGGCCAUGGUGCCCACAGAGGGAUUUUCAGGAGUUAUCCCAAGCAGACACCCCAGCCAUGGUGCCACAGAGGGAUUUUCAGGAGUUAUCCCAUGCAGACACCCCGGCCAUGGUGCCCACAGAGGGAUUUUCAGGAGUUAUCCCAUGCAAACACCCCGGCCAUGGUGCCCACAGAGGGAUUUUCAGGAGUUAUCCCAUGCAGACACCCUGGCCAUGGUGCCACAGAGGGAUUUUCAGGAGUUAUCCCAUGCAGACACCCCGGCCAUGGUGCCACAGAGGGAUUUUCAGGAGUUAUCCCAUGCAGACACCCCGGCCAUGGUGCCACAGAGGGAUUUUCAGGAGUUAUCCCAUGCAGACACCCCGGCCAUGGUGCCACAGAGGGAUUUUCAGGAGUUAUCCCAUGCAGACACCCUGGCCAUGGUGCCCACAGAGGGAUUUUCAGGAGUUAUCCCAAGCAGACACCCUGGCCAUGGUGCCCACAGAGGGAUUUUCAGGAGUUAUCCCAUGCAGACACCCCGGCCAUGGUGCCCACAGAGGGAUUUUCAGGAGUUAUCCCAUGCAGACACCCUGGCCAUGGUGCCCACAGAGGGAUUUUCAGGAGUUAUCCCAAGCAGACACCCCGGCCAUGGUGCCCACAGAGGGAUUUUCAGGAGUUAUCCCAAGCAGACACCCUGGCCAUGGUGCCCACAGAGGGAUUUUCAGGAGUUAUCCCAUGCAGACACCCCAGCCAUGGUGCCCACAGAGGGAUUUUCAGGAGUUAUCCCAAGCAGACACCCCGGCCAUGGUGCCCACAGAGGGAUUUUCAGGAGUUAUCCCAUGCAGACACUGCUGCCACGGUGCCCAUAGAGGGAUUUUCAGGAGUUAUCCCAAGCAGACACCCCGGCCAUGGUGCCACAGAGGGAUUUUCAGGAGUUAUCCCAAGCAGACACCCCGGCCAUGGUGCCCACAGAGGGAUUUUCAGGAGUUAUCCCAAGCAGACACCCCGGCCAUGGUGCCACAGAGGGAUUUUCAGGAGUUAUCCCAUGCAGACACCCCAGCCAUGGUGCCCACAGAGGGAUUUUCAGGAGUUAUCCCAUGCAGACACCCCGGCCAUGGUGCCACAGAGGGAUUUUCAGGAGUUAUCCCAAGCAGACACUGCUGCCAUGGUGCCACAGAGGGACUUUCAGGAGUUAUCCCAUGCAGACACCCCGGCCAUGGUGCCCACAGAGGGAUUUUCAGGAGUUAUCCCAUGCAGACACCCCGGCCAUGGUGCCCACAGAGGGAUUUUCAGGAGUUAUCCCAUGCAGACACCCCGGCCAUGGUGCCCACAGAGGGAUUUUCAGGAGUUAUCCCAUGCAGACACCCCGGCCAUGGUGCCCACAGAGGGAUUUUCAGGAGUUAUCCCAUGCAGACACCCCGGCCAUGGUGCCCACAGAGGGAUUUUCAGGAGUUAUCCCAUGCAGACACCCUGGCCAUGGUGCCCACAGAGGGAUUUUCAGGAGUUAUCCCAUGCAGACACCCCGGCCAUGGUGCCCACAGAGGGAUUUUCAGGAGUUAUCCCAAGCAGACACUGCUGCCAUGGUGCCCACAGAGGGAUUUUCAGGAGUUAUCCCAUGCAGACACCCCGGCCAUGGUGCCCACAGAGGGAUUUUCAGGAGUUAUCCCAAGCAGACACCCCGGCCAUGGUGCCCACAGAGGGAUUUUCAGGAGUUAUCCCAAGCAGACACUGCUGCCAUGGUGCCCACAGAGGGAUUUUCAGGAGUUAUCCCAUGCAGACACCCCAGCCAUGGUGCCCACAGAGGGAUUUUCAGGAGUUAUCCCAAGCAGACACCCCGGCCAUGGUGCCCACAGAGGGAUGGGUCAUGAAUUAUCUUUCCCACUCUGUAACUCCAGGGGCAUAGAGCUUCAUGGCCAUGAAAACACGGCCAAGGGACACAGGGUAUUUUUUUCUGCCUGCAUUUCAUUCUCACUGGCACAAGCACAUGCUCUACAAACAAGCAAACAGGUGAGGCCAGCCUGA
ensembl:lncRNA